rnacentral:rRNA from 1 species
GACGAACGCUGGCGGCGUGCUUAACACAUGCAAGUCGAGCGGUGCGGCCAACGGGCGAGUAACGCGGGAGUAACUGCCCCCCUCCCUGGGAUAACAGUUGGAAACGGCUGCUAAUACCGGAUAGUGGGGGAUGACUCGCGGCCUAUCAGCUUGUUGGUUGGGUAGUGGCCUACCAAGGCGACGGCGGGUAGCCGGCCUGAGAGGGCGACCGGCCACAUUGGGCUGAGCUACGGCCCAGACUCGUACGGGGGGCAGCAGUGGGGAAUAUUGCACAAUGGGGGAAACCCUAAUGCAGCAACGCCGCGUGCGGAAUGACGGCCUUCGGGUUGUAAACCGCUUUCAGCCAUGACGCGGUAGUGGCAGAAGAAGCACCGGCUAACUACGUGCCAGCCGCCGCGGUAAUAC